UACGAAGGGGCUAGCGUUGUUCGGAAUUACUGGCGUAAAGCGCACGUAGGCGGAUACUUAAGUCAGGGGUGAAAUCCUGGAGCUCAACUCCAGAACUGCCUUUGAUACUGAGGAUCUUGAGUUCGGGAGAGGUGAGUGGAACUGCGAGUGUAGAGGUGAAAUUCGUAGAUAUUCGCAAGAACACCAGUGGCGAAGGCGGCUCACUGGCCCGGUACUGACGCUGAGGUGCGAAAGCGUGGGGAGCAAACAGG
rnacentral:rRNA from 1 species